AGAAUUCAUAUGGGGCUUGAGAAGUGAAUCUAUCUUAAACACCCCCGAUCUGCCUGCUUCAUGCUUCUGGUUCCACUCUCUCACAGCUCGCCUGGGCCUUGCUCCCAUCAGCACCUAGGACUAAAGUCAAGCUAGAGCAAUGCCAAAAGUCAAACUUACCAGCUCACUACCUCUCCACAUGCCCCAGGCCGUGAGCAAAGAAGGUCCUGAGUCUCCUCUAUGUUCUAGGUAGGCUCUGAGCCCAUGACUUCAACUCUAUCAGUGUCAGGAAGAAAGGCACAGGACAAGCUGUGCUCCCCAGUCCUCUUAGACAUCAGAUAGGCAAGAAGAGGGGCAAAUUCAAGGCCACCUGCUUUUCCUGACUUAAAGACAAGGACUGUCGCAGGCUCGUGGCCUGAUAUGGUGUUCGCCUGGGUAGAGGAGCGCCCUCCGCCUACUCAGCAGGUUCUAAGCAGAGGCAAAGAAAGAACUCGUGGCCGAAGAUCAGGGUCCCAGUUCUCAUGUUUGGGGACUACUUGGCCCAACUGGGUGCCUCUCUGGUCCCCAAGUGGUGGGCUGCCUGGUGUUUGUUUCUUUGGGUUCUUGGGUGCAUGUCUGCCUUGAGAUGCUGUCUACAGCUCUUUCCGGGUUCCUGUCUCCUGUUCCUGGGGAUGACCGGAUACCCACAGAUACCGAGGAUGCCCUCAUUUGACGUGUUGUUCUCCAGUCCCUAUUGUCCUAUUGACUAACAUUGUGCAUGUUUAAUUCUCUGAUGGCUGUGGCGGCUGCCUGCCUAGGAGCUGAUAACUAACAUGAUUCUGAGCAGGUGAGUCACUCUCUCGGGGCUCUGAACGUCCCGUCUCUUACCCACUGUCCUGGACUGUAGCCCAGACCUGGGUCCAGGAGAGAAAGCCUGCCUGCACCGUUUCCAGCCUUUAUCACUCAUCCGUGUAGGGUUGCAUGCAGGAGGGUGCCCAGAGAGAGAGAGGAAAUGUGAGAGAUGGAGGGACCGCAAGCAGAUCUCUGCCAGCUGCCGAGACGAAUGACCACAGAACUGAGAAGGCUUCUAGGUCUAUGGUAUCAGCUACAGGUGUCAAGGCAAGGCUUGCCAACAUGACUACACAUGUUGGGCACUGCACAACUCCAGAGGGGAAAGUCCACAAAGAGAAUGGCGUGCCUGGCAGGCCCUGGAGUUGUGUACCUUG
rnacentral:lncRNA from 1 species